AACUGAGGGAAACUUGAGCUAAUACCGUAUACGCCCUACGGGGGAAAGAUUUAUCGGAGUUGGAUGAGCCCGCGUUGGAUUAGCUAGUUGGUGGGGUAAUGGCCUACUUCGGCGACGAUCCAUAGCUGGUCUGAGAGGAUGAUCAGCCACACUGGGACUGAGACACGGCCCAGACUCCUACGGGAGGCAGCAGUGGGGAAUAUUGGACAAUGGGCGAAAGCCUGAUCCAGCCAUGCCGCGUGAGUGAUGAAGGCCUUAGGGUUGUAAAGCUCUUUCACCGGGGAAGAUAAUGACGGUACCCGCAGAAGAAGCCCCGGCUAACUUCGUGCCAGCAC
rnacentral:rRNA from 1 species